CCUACGGGAGGCAGCAGUGGGGAAUAUUGGACAAUGGGCGAAAGCCUGAUCCAGCAAUGCCGCGUGAGUGAUGAAGGCCUUAGGGUUGUAAAGCUCUUUUACCAGGGAUGAUAAUGACAGUACCUGGAGAAUAAGCUCCGGCUAACUCCGUGCCAGCAGCCGCGGUAAUACGGAGGGAGCUGGCGUUGUUCGGAAUUACUGGGCGUAAAGCGUACGUAGGCGGUUAUUCAAGUCAGAGGUGAAAGCCUGGAGCUCAACUCCAGAACUGCCUUUGAAACUAGAUAGCUAGAAUCUUGGAGAGGUGAGUGGAAUUCCGAGUGUAGAGGUGAAAUUCGUAGAUAUUCGGAAGAACACCAGUGGCGAAGGCGACUCACUGGACAAGUAUUGACGCUGAGGUACGAAAGCGUGGGGAGCAAACAGGAUUAGAUACCCUGGUAGUCCACGCCGUAAACGAUGAUAACUAGCUGUUCGGGCUCUACGAGCUUGUAGUGGCGCAGCUACGCAUUAAGUUAUCCGCCGUCGGGAGGUACGGUCGCGAGAAUUAAACUACAAUAGAAGUUAGACGGCGUGAGACGUGCCGACGGACGACGACGAGGGAGGUUAGG
rnacentral:rRNA from 1 species